rnacentral:rRNA from 1 species
AGAGUUUGAUCAUGGCUCAGGAUUAACGCUGGCGGCGUGCAUGAAACAUGCAAGUCGAGCGCGGCACUUCGGUGUCUAGCGGCGCACGGGUGAGUAACACGUGAGCAACCUACCUUCGAGUCCGGGAUAGCCCUGAGAAAUCAGGAUUAAUACCGGAUGUGGUCACCUGAGGACAUCCUCGGGUGAGUAAAGACGCAAGU